rnacentral:rRNA from 1 species
GCGAGUGAAGCGGCAAAAGCUCAAAUUUGGAAUCUGCCAGCAAUGGCCGAGUUGUAAUUUGUAGAUGGUAACUCUGUAAGGAGUCUUUGCUCAAGUUUUCUGGAAAGGAACAUCAUGGAGGGUGACAAUCCCGUGAGGCAUUGACGUACUUGCGUGUAGAGUGCUAUCAAAGAGUCGAGUUGUUUGGGAAUGCAGCUCAAAGUGGGUGGUAGACACCAUCUAAAGCUAAAUAUUGGCGAGAGACCGAUAGCGAACAAGUACUGUGAAGGAAAGAUGAAAAGCACUUUGAAAAGAGAGUGAAAAAGUACGUGAAAUUAUUGUUAUGGAAGGGUAUAAAAUUGGACAUGAGGUAUUGAGUUCGGCAGUCUCUCGGGAUUGUUUUGUCUCUUUAUUUCGCACCAGCAUCAGUUUUGGCAGGAGGAUAAACAACAUGGAAUGUAGCUGCUUGCAGUAUUAUAGACUUGUUGCAUACUCUUUGCUGGGAUUGAGGUCAGCCUUUGUAGGAUGCUGGGGUAACGAUUUUAUACCACCC